rnacentral:lncRNA from 1 species
UUUUGCUGAAGAGUUUAUUUGGAGCAGGCAACUCAAGAUAGGACUUUACCAUAAAACAAAAGGACCAAUGUUUGCUAAAUAACAGCGCUGUGCAUUGUAUUACUUUCUACCCACCCUGGUUCUUAGGAGGAAAGCUGUCCAGAGCUGCUGUCCACCUGGGUACAUACAGAGUGGAAAUAUCAGUGUUGGCUAAGAUGCAAAAUGCUGCCUGUGACCACCUUUGUAAUCACUGGUUGAUUUGGACUUUAUCAAGGACAGAAAUACAGCUUUGGAGAUUCCUCCUGAAAAGCCACCACACCUGUUUGUAAUGAUGCCCUUAUAUUAUUUAUAGCUGAGUUCACAUUUUGUCUAAAGCAUGUUCUACUAAAUGCUGUUUUAAAAAUGUUGCACUGCAAAAGCAGAAAAAUUCUACUAACAUUUCUACAUUGCAGUAUUACACUAGAUUAAGCCUCUAACAGUGCCUCAGAUGGAGUCUCUUCCUGCUACAGCUGUCAAACAAUUUACACCAUCAAAACCUGGUUUUGAACAAGGUACAAUGGACAAUAUCAGAGUGUUCUUUCCUUGUCAAUUCAGAUUAAAAAAUUAUUCUCAAGUAACAAAUUAUUAAGGCAUGCAAAGACUUAGCUCACUCUAUUCCUAUUGAGCACAAUUAUUUUUUAAAGUAAAAAGAAACCAAAAAACUCUGACAACAACAAAAUUUUAAAAACCCUUUACAAUUUUUUGAAUUGCUGAGAUUUCUUUUGUGGGUUACAUCCAAACAUCUUGCUCCAUUUUGUUACAGUCCUGAAAGGUCACAAAGCAUUUACCACUUUUCUUAAUCCCACCCCACAACACAUGCUCUCAGGUGGAUCCUUCUCAUGACCACCCUCCUCUCAGUCUCUGUAAUCCAGAAACCAGGAACAGACAUCCCUUUCUGUAUUGCAGCAUGCUCCCAUCAGGUUAUUUAGAACAAAACAAUUCCUAAUCUGGACCACAUAGCAGGAAGAAAAAUGGGAAAUUUCAUGGCAGCUUUUAAACUACCACAUGGCAUAACCCUGCACACAGCAGCAGAGCCACUUUGUUGACCCAAGCUAGGAAAGUAUGUGGCUGUGGCAGAUGGGUCAUGUUAGCAGUAAUGCACAGCUAAAAAAAGAGGGUUGUGUCGUCCCUUUGAAAAGAGCAAGUUUGUAGUGUAAGACAUCUUGUAAAGUAAAGCCUUAGAAGCAGAAAAAGCCUAAAAAGGCACAGUAUUUGACAUUGCUUAGUUUUAGAUUACAAAUAAAAUAUUCUCCAUCUCUCUCUAACCUAGAGAGCAGAAACUUUGCACAUGCUUUGGCCUGUGUAUCAUGUCAGCUACAUGAUGCACAGCCUCACAUUACUUCUGUCUUCUGCUCUAGAUAGAGGAAAAAAAAAGGUACAGAAGGUACAUUUCUCUUGAGUUCAGCUCUGGAGUUUGAAAUGCAGAUUUUGAGAUGAGAAAGAAAAGUUUCUUUUCCUAACUACAGCAUAUUUUCCUCUGUGGAGGAUGUGAACACUAGCCAAAAAAAAAAAAAAAAAAAAAAAAACCAACCAUGAGUUCCUGUAUUUUAACUGUCUCUCAUCUUGAAGCAAUAAACAAAGGUUAAUCAAAUAAUUACUAGCUGAGUAAAUAUUUUUGCUCAUAUGUAUAAACCAACCUAGGUCAGAUUCUCAUGUUUUGGCUCAGCAUUAGUAUGUCUUUUCAUGGUUGGUAGAUCCAAAAUUAUUUUUUUCCAUCUUAAGUCCAUAUGCUAAAUUGAGAAACUAUGCAUAUAUACAUACAUAAGUAUAUACACACACUCUAUACACAUUGUUUUUUACAGACCCUCCAAGAACUGUUUCUUUUUCCUCUAAACAAAGUGCAGAGAAGCAUGUUCAUGAAAGUGUCUCUACAGAACUCUGCAAUGACCAUUUAACAGAGGUCAGCAUGUUCCAGCAAGGUAACACCCUCCAGCUGCCUGCAAACAAGGUGGAAGGAUCUUCCCAGCCCACCUUACAGAGGCAAAUGAUGCAUCAAAAGCUCCAUUUAGGCAACAUGCUACCACCCAACCCUACUUACCUUGCAUGUUCAUUCCUAUCUGGCUUUCAGCAAUCCCAGGUCCUGUAUCACUCUUAUCAUGUGCCUAAUGUAACAGAGAGCUCUGUGUUGUGGAUACUAUUAGAACAAUUAAUUUGCUGCAGCUCUGCGAGGGUUGUGGUUUAAGCCCUCAACUCCAUUUGAAUCCUUAGGUCAAAUUUCUCCAUUGUGUGAAAGCUGUUCUGAAGUCCCCAAAGAGCAUGACUACUCUUCCCCAAAAGCUUUAGAGGAGAGAAUGGAGAAGUAACUGUUCUCUGAGGACCUCACAAAGGAGACCUGGUCUGCCAGACAUCAGACACCCUGCCACUGUCCUCCCUGGAGAAAGAACCAAGCAACAAUAAUGUCAAGUAACAUCUCCAGCAUGAUUAUCUAUGCCUUCCAAAGCAGUACUGCUCAAUUCUACAAAACUUGUGGCUAUGUGUCACAUUCCAGUGUGGGGAACUGCAAGGAGUUUUUUUAAAAAAUAGAUGGUCGGGAAUGAAACUAAGCCAAAGAAGACAAACAUUUUUAUCUGACAACUGUUUAUUGGUAAUGAAACCACAAAACAAAAAGGAGUUACUCCACUAAGGAGAGCUAGAGAAGAAAAAUUGAAGAGAAAAGGAGAAAGAUAGAGAUGAGACAGAGGGAACAGAAAGCGCUACCAGCGGAGGUCGGGUGUGCAGUCGAUGUCCCGAGGCGAGGCUGUGCACGCUGCCGGCCGGGCACGGCUCCUGUGGCCAGGGCGGCCGGACACGGGCUGAGGAGUGCUCAGGCAGAAGGGCCAGGAGAGCCAGGAACAUGGGCAGGAGGGCCAGGAGUGUGGGCAGGAGGGCUGGCUCGGGAUGCUGGAUCACAGGCACCUCAGGAGGGAUGCAGAGAUGAAGCAGGCAGGGCGUCAGUCAGGGACUCAGGGAGGCUGGACAGACGCGAGGGUGAGCAAGAGCCAGUGAGGGCAGGAGAGCCAAAAGGCAGGACUCCAAAAGCAAGUUCAAAAAGCCCCCAAAAGAGUCAAAAGGCAAGGACAGAACAGCCCCCGGAGCUUGUGACACAGUUACUUUUUCUGCCCUGGCUCCUCCCCAAGUAUUCCUUAUGAGAGGAGACCAUGGCCCAGUCCGAUGUCCCAGUGCAAUCCAUUGGCAGAGACCUUUUCCGUCUGCCUGGAGAGUGUCUCUGGGGCGCAGUGCCUUCGGUGUCCCCCUGCUGUCCCCCCUGCCUGUUCGGUGCAAGACAUGAAAUGGUGGCCAGGCGAAGUCCCCCAGAGAAAAGGCUUUCCUGCGUCUUCUCCUGGCUGCCUCCUGGCCAUGGCACAUCUGCAGCCCCUCCCCACAGGCCUCUGACAGCCAUUGCUGAGGCCUCACAGAACUCAUUGGCUCCUCAUACUAUGGUUUGAAAGCUUUUCUUUUCAAACAGGCUCUUUCUGCAUGUCUGCAUUUCACAGGAUUGCAUAUAUUGUGGUUGGGUCGAACUGUUUUAAGAUAAUAGUUCUGCCAUAAACUUUCCUUCAGACUUUAUGUCCUGAAAAACACAUAUCAGAUCAGACUUUACUUUUGGUAACUGUAUCUGCCUCCUGAUCCUCUAAGACUCAACUCAGCUUUUUAAGGACCACAUCCUUGCAAACAAGCUCCAUCACUAAACUGUAAGAUGAUGGCCCUGGACUGUACUGUACUGAGCCAAGGACUUUAGAUCCAGAAAGCUAAAAUGCACAGUGGGUGUUACCAGGCCACUCAUCCAGUUCCGGUCUGCUGACCAAACCUCUCACUAAGCCAAUUCAAAUAC